rnacentral:sRNA from 1 species
UUAAGCCAAUAUAAAUAAGCUGUAGAAACACAAGUGAUUCCGAAAACUACCGAGACAGGAAAGAAAGCGGGGGGAAACUGGCAUAUUGCUUGUUCCAGCGAUGUGUCUUUUCUUUCGGAAGCUCGGUGGAAAAUGUGGCUGUAAUUCUUCUGUCGUGUCUUGUUUCACAGCGGCCUGUCCAGUGUUAUGUAGUGGCAACGGGCAGUACUCCAAGGGCCGCUGCCUCUGUUUCAGCGGCUGGAAGGGCACCGAGUGUGAUGUGCCGACUACCCAGUGUAUUGACCCACAGUGUGGGGGUCGUGGGAUUUGUAUCAUGGGCUCUUGUGCUUGCAACUCAGGAUACAAAGGAGAAAAUUGUGAAGAAGCUGACUGUCUAGACCCUGGGUGUUCUAAUCAUGGUGUGUGUAUCCAUGGGGAAUGUCAUUGCAGUCCAGGAUGGGGAGGUAGCAAUUGUGAAAUACUGAAGAC